AGUAAAAGUCGUAACAAGGUUUCGGUAGGUGAACCUGCGGAAGGAUCAUUAAUGAAAUUUAUGACUGGAGUUGUAGCUGGCCUUUAAAAACGGCAUGUGCACGCUCCUUUCACUAAUCCACACACACCUGUGCACCUUCGCGGGGGUCUCUUCGUUAACUCGAAGAGGCUCGCGUCCCUUUACACACCCUUUGUAUGUCUUAAGAAUGUCUACUCGAUGUAAUAAAACGCAUCUAAUACAACUUUCAACAACGGAUCUCUUGGCUCUCGCAUCGAUGAAGAACGCAGCGAAAUGCGAUAAGUAAUGUGAAUUGCAGAAUUCAGUGAAUCAUCGAAUCUUUGAACGCACCUUGCGCCCUUUGGUAUUCCGAAGGGCACACCUGUUUGAGUGUCGUGAAAUUCUCAACCCUCUUCACUUUUGUGAACGUAGUGGAUUGGACUUGGAGGCUUUGCCGGGCUUCACCCCUCGGCUCCUCUCAAAUGCAUUAGUGCGUCUUGUUGCGACGUGCGCCUCGGUGUGAUAAUUAUCUACGCUGUGGUGUGCUUGCUUCUGUGGAGACGCGCUUUCUAACCGUCCGAAAGGACAGCUUUCAUCGAACUUUGACCUCAAAUCAGGUGGGACUACCCGCUGAACUUAAGCAUAUCAAUAAGCGGAGGA
rnacentral:rRNA from 1 species